rnacentral:tRNA from 1 species
UAGAUUGAAGCCAGUUGAAUAUGGCGAUUAGCUGUUAACUAAGAGUUUAUAGGUUUAAAUCCUGUCAAUCUAG